GUUUUUACGAGCCAGCAAAAGUAUGUGUGGUGGUAGUGAAGUGCGCAGUGGUGGUGAUACCGGUUGGUGAUGAAUUGAUGAUGUAGAUAUAGAGAUACCGACAAAUACAUGGGAGCAGGUGGCAAGCCAAUGAAAUAACUCGAUUGACAACUCAUGACCUAUCAUCAUUAAGUAUACAAUGGAAUAAAAUUACACGGAGAUUUGAGUUGGUGGUGCCCUCACUCGCUGUCGCUAUCAUCCGCGCAUUCCACUUACACAUUAAUCCCGUUGCGUCGUGGAAUUCUUCGUCAACGAAAGUAAAACAUGAUAUAGUUCAUUGAAUCGGAUAAUUUUAGAAUUUUAUUUUGUAUUGGAAUGGAUUUUUUAUUUUUAAUGGAAGAAGGGUACAAUUCGAGUUCAAAUCGAAUUAUUCGGGAGUUUUCGAAUUACUUGGCGCGAAUCGAGAAAAUUAUGAUCAGCUUUCAAUUGUUUAAUUUUUAAU